UAUUAUUGAAAUUGAAGGAUAUAUCAUAGGAUAUAUUCACUACAUUUCUCUCUGUACGAUAGCACUUCGAAGCUCACAUCACAAUUGAAUUUUUUCCCAUAAUCGGAAAGUUAGGUUAUUAUUGAAGAGAUAUGAAAGAAAGUUCUUGGACGUGAAUCUGUAUCAAAAUCGGAUGUAAUAACUGAUAGUUUAUUUUGUCACUAAUAAUACUUAUUUUUCAGGCACAUAUAAAUUUAUCAUAUCAAGAAAUGUAUAGAAUUCAUAAAUGUCAAAUAUCAUCUCUCGGGAAGUCUCAUUUUAAAUAAAAAAAGCUUCUUCAGGGAUUAAAUUACAUGCAAACUCAUAGAAUGAGAAACUUCCUUAUUCUUGGUGUAUGAACAUAAGAAUUUCUAGAUAACAAACGGUUCUUGGGGGCACAUAUAAAUUUAUCAUAUCAAGAAAUGUAUAGAAUUCAUAAAUGUCAAAUAUCAUCUCUCGGGAAGUCUCAUUUUAAAUAAAAAAAGCUUCUUCAGGGAUUAAAUUACAUGCAAACUCAUAGAAUGAGAAACUUCCUUAUUCUUGGUGUAUGAACAUAAGAAUUUCUAGAUAACAAACGGUUCUUGGGGGCAUAUAUAAAUUUAUCAGAUCAAGAAAUGUAUAAUAUCAUCUCUCGGACAGUGUUAUUUGGUGAAAAAAAAUGUUCUUCAGAGUAAGUUUCUUAAGCAGUUCGUUCAGGAGAGUUUCUAUGUGAAGCAAAUGAUCUAUUUCGAUUCUUUUCAACUGAACACAACAGAUUUCUGACAACUCUCAAGCAAUUGGGUAGUGUACGGAGAUGAUUUUCUUAGGCUAGAUCUAUGGAAAAAUAUGUUUUGAGAUAAGUUAUUCAGUUGGAAUGAUAUAAUGAUUAUUGAAACACAAUCUAUGAGUGAGUUUUAGCGUUAAAAUUCUAUAUUUAUAGACAUUUGUCAAGUUCUACCAUUUAGGGUAAGAUUUUUGCUAUUAUCGUUGAGAGAGGGACCCUGUAGGUUUUUGUUCAAAAUAAACAGAAUUAAACGUUA